UUUUUUUUUUGGUCAAACUUGUGUCAUGAACAAGCAUUCUAAACAGGAGUGAGUGACAAGCAUUCAGGAAGUGCAUAAGUGUCAGAUGCAUAAGCUUCAAGCUUCGAGUCUCUAUCCGAUGUAUAGUCCAUUCGAGAAGAGAAGUGAAAAGCCCAACAACAAUACUAGAAUGACAACUGCCAUUGGAGUUAGUCUGUCAAUUCUUCACGUGGGCCCUAGUUCUGUUCUCACCUUGUUGUAUGAGAUCGCAUCACAAGGAAUUGCAUCCGAGCUCCUGGCAUUUCUACAAUUUUCGAUCAAUGAACACAAUUGGCCUGCUAACAGUCAACAGAUUGGACUGCAGCCAUACUUACUACAGAAGAAAAUGGAGGUUUCGCAAAAUCUACAGGGAACAGUCACCUUUUUGUGAAGAACAUCAAUGACAUCCAGAGCACGAUGCCUGCGGGGCUUCACCAACGAACAUCAGGAUGGCGCGACGGUGGUUGGAGAAGAAGUUUGAGCAGAGGAGGGGAAACCGUCCAUGGUGAGUCAGAGGUGUGCAAACGAGGAAGAGCGCUGGCCCAGCGCGGGAUCAUGGGUGGAAGGCGGGGACAGUGGCUAGCGGGGUGAAUGGCGCUGGUGCCGUAGCCUGGCGGGGUUAAUGGCGGCUGGCGGCGCACUGGAUCGGGUGGAUCCAGCAGGGACGCACAUUGACGUUGCCGGCAACGGGGAUGCGGGAGGAGGUCGUCGACGGGGUUGCGGAGGAGGCCGCCGGCGGGGUUGCGGGAGGAAGCUCACGGUGGCGGCAGGUCUGCGGGAUGAACAUCGCGGCGGUGGUGGGGUCUGCGGGAGAAGGCCCGCGGCGGCGGAAGGUUCUGCGGGAGGAGGCACGCGGCAGCGGCAGGGUCUGCGGGAGGAGGCCCGCGGUGGCUGCGGGUUCUGCGGGAGGAGGCAGGCGGCGGUGGCGGGGUCUGCGGGAGGAGGCCCGCGGCGGCGGGCGGCGGGUCUGCCGGAGCAGGCCAAUGGCGGCGCUGGUGUUCCGGAGAUGGGAGGAAUCGAGAGAUUGGAGACGACUAGGAAGGUCGUGGGUAGAUUAUGCGUCGGUCCAGGAUGUGAUAGUGGGCCGGUCGGGUUGCUCUGUUUUUUGCUUUCACGGAUCAGCAAAGUCCCAUCGGGCUCUAUAUAAGGCUGAUUGUGAUCCAAAUAUUAUUCUGAUCCUAGGAUCAGAAUAGUGUUACUAUAAUUUCCCAAAGUCAACACUCCUUUUAAAAAUGUCAGAUAUCUGAGAAUUAUCAAAGGACUUAGAAGAUGCACAUUUCUUAUCACAUGACGUACACCAUAGAAGAUUGCAAUGGGCCUUCAGUUUAAUAUUUUUUAUUCAACGGGUGUUUUUCCUUUUUGCAGGUAAGCAGCUGUGGUUAUUGCCAAGAACUGGUUGAACCUAUCGUUUUGGAUCGUGUGCUGUAGGAGUGCCAUUGUUUCACUAUAUGUUAAGGAUACAAAUCUAUCCACCAUUACCUUCUCGAGUUUUCCAAAUCUCAAACUAGUCGGGCUAACACGUCUCCAGGCUCCGGCCUUCAGGUUAGCCAUCCUAUCAUAAGGCUUCAGCAUCGCACCAUGGUUGUAGAACAGCCACCGCUCCUCUUCCAUGAACUUCUGCCAGGCAGAAAACUUGAAUAACAAACAGUGUUCAUGCACAUUCUCAGUGAGAUUGAUUUAGUAAUUAAGAUGCAACUAAAGAGUACUCCCUCCGUCCCAAAAUAUAAGAACGUUUCUAACACUAGCAUAGUAUCAAGAACGUUCUUAUAUUCUAGGACAGAGGAAGUAAAAGAAACAAACAGAUUGCCACAAAGUCAUUGCCAAGUCCCAAGCCCCCUCUUGGGUGAUAGACAAAUGAAGUAUAAAACAAGCACAACAGCAGGUUUACAUCCGGUUGCAGAACAGCCACCACUCUUCUUCCAUGAACUUCUGCCAGGCAGAAAACUUGAAUAGCAAACAGUGUUCAUGCACAUUCUCAGCGAGAUUGAUGGAAAGUAAUUAAGAUGCAACUAAAGAGUAAAAGAAACAAACGAAUUGCCACAAAGUCAUUGCCAAGUCCCAAGCCCCCUCUUGGGUGAUAGACAAAUGAAGUCUAAAACAAGCACAACAGCAGGUUCAUCUUACAGUCUUGAGCAAAGAUAAGAUACUGGAUUUCUUAGAUACCACAAUUAUAAAGUAGUCUUUAGCCUAGAGGACUCGGCUUUUGAAGGAAUGGCUCCGGCCGCACGUAACUGAACCCCACGAAGUUGCUAUCUGCAGCAACAGGGCUGGCCACGGGAGAGUCCAGCACCGGCAUACUCGUCCAGCACUCGUCAAAGUUUGCAAUGCAGGUCUGCCCAGCAACAUUUGGGCAGAAGCUUGGCUUGAUCUGUCGAGCCUCUAGUUUCUUCCAGUUCACUGCCUUGAACCACUUGUGGUUCUUUAUUUCGUCACUGCCGCCCGGUCCACUUCCAAGUCGCCUGCCAGCUUCU
rnacentral:lncRNA from 1 species